rnacentral:rRNA from 1 species
CACGUAGGAGGCGAGCGUUGUCCGGAAUCAUUGGGCGUAAAGAGCGCGCAGGCGGCUUGGCAAGUCGGGUGUGAAAUCCCGGGGCUCAACCCCGUGACUGCAUCCGAUACUGUCAGGCUAGAGGUAGGUAGGGGAGAUCGGAAUUCCUGGUGUAGCGGUGAAAUGCGCAGAUAUCAGGAGGAACACCGAUGGCGAAGGCAGUGAUCUGGGCCGGUACUGACGCUGAGGAGCGAAAGCGUGGGUAGCAAACAGG